rnacentral:rRNA from 1 species
AUUGAACGCUGGCGGCAGGCCUAACACAUGCAAGUCGAACGAGUGGCGGACGGGUGAGUAAUGUCUGGGAAACUGCCUGAUGGAGGGGGAUAACUACUGGAAACGGUAGCUAAUACCGCAUACCAUCAGAUGUGCCCAGGUGGGAUUAGCUAGUUGGUGGGGUAACGGCUCACCAAGGCGACGAUCCCUAGCUGGUCUGAGAGGAUGACCGGCCACAAUGGGAAUGAGACACGGUCCAGACUCCUACGGGAGGCAGCAGUGGGGAAUAUUGCACAAUGGGGGAAAGCCUGACGCAGCCAUGCCGCGUGAAUGAAGAAGGCCUUGGGGUUGUAAAGUUCUUUCGGUAGAGAGGCGUUAACUACAGAAGAAGCACCGGCUAACUCCGUGCCAGCAGCCGCGGUAAUUC